UACGGAGGGUGCAAACGUUGCUCGGAAUUAUUGGGCGUAAAGAGCGUGUAGGCGGCUUGGUAGGUCUCGCGUCAAAACCUGCGGCUCAACCGCAGUUCGCGUGGGAAACCACCUAGCUAGAGUCCGGAAGAGGAGAACGGAAUUCCUGGUGUAGCGGUGGAAUGCGCAGAUAUCAGGAGGAACACCGGUGGCGAAGGCGGU
rnacentral:rRNA from 1 species